rnacentral:rRNA from 1 species
AUUGAACGCUAGCGGGAUGCCUUACACAUGCAAGUCGAACGGCAGCGGGUCCUUCGGGAUGCCGGCGAGUGGCGAACGGGUGAGUAAUGUAUCGGAACGUGCCCAGUAGCGGGGGAUAACUACGCGAAAGCGUGGCUAAUACCGCAUACGCCCUUAGGGGGAAAGGCGGGGAUCCUUUGGGACCUGUCACUAUUGGAGCGGCCGAUAUCGGAUUAGCUGGUUGGUGGGGUAAUGGCCUACCAAGGCGACGAUCCGUAGCUGGUUUGAGAGGACGACCUGCCACACUGGGACUGAGACACGGCCCAGACUCCUACGGGAGGCAGCAGUGGGGAAUUUUGGACAAUGGGGGCAACCCUGAUCCAGCCAUCCCGCGUGUGCGAUGAAGGCCUUCGGGUUGUAAAGCACCUUUGGCAGGGAAGAAAUUGCCUGGGUUAAUAGCCUGGGCCGAUGACGG